rnacentral:rRNA from 1 species
ACACUUGUGCAAUGCGCGAAAGCGCGACACGGGGAGCUUGAGUGUCUUGGCAUAGCCAAGACUUUUCUCAUUCCUAAAAAGCAUGAGGAAUAAGUGCUGGGUAAGACGGGUGCCAGCCGCCGCGGUACACCCGCAGCACGAGUAGUGGUCACUUUUAUUGAGCCUAAAGCGUUCGUAGCCGGUUUUGUAAAUCUUCAGAUAAAGCCUGAAGCUUAACUCCAGAAAGUCUGAAGAGACUGCAAGACUUGAGAUCGGGUGAGGUUAAACGUACUUUCAGGGUAGGGGUAAAAUCCUGUAAUNCCGGAAGGACGACCAGUGGCGAAAGCGUUUANCUAGAACGAAUCUGACGGUAAGGAACGAAGGCUAGGGUAGCAAACCGGAUUAGAUACCCGGGUAGUCCUAGCUGUAAACAUUGCCCAUUUGAUGUUGCUUUUCCGUUGAGGGAAGGCAGUGUCGGAGCGAAGGUGUUAAAUGGGCCGCUUGGGNAGUAUGGUCGCAAGACUGAAACUUCA